rnacentral:rRNA from 1 species
ACGGGUGAGUAACACGUGGGAACCUGCCUUUCGGUUCGGGAUAACGUCUGGAAACGGACGCUAACACCGGAUACGUCCUUCGGGAGAAAGUUUACGCCGAGAGAGGGGCCCGCGUCCGAUUAGGUAGUUGGUGGGGUAAUGGCCCACCAAGCCGACGAUCGGUAGCUGGUCUGAGAGGAUGAUCAGCCACACUGGGACUGAGACACGGCCCAGACUCCUACGGGAGGCAGCAGUGGGGAAUAUUGGACAAUGGGGGCAACCCUGAUCCAGCAAUGCCGCGUGAGUGAUGAAGGCCUUAGGGUUGUAAAGCUCUUUCGCACGCGACGAUGAUGACGGUAGCGUGAGAAGAAGCCCCGGCUAACUUCGUGCCAGCAGCCGCGGUAAUACGAAGGGGGCGAGCGUUGUUCGGAAUUACUGGGCGUAAAGGGCGCGUAGGCGGCCUGUUUAGUCAGAAGUGACCGCC